rnacentral:rRNA from 1 species
GACGAACGCUGGCGGCGUGCUUAACACAUGCAAGUCGAGCGGUAAGGCCCUUUCGGGGGUACGACGAGCGGCGAACGGGCGAGUAACACGUGGGUGACCUGCCCUCAGCUCUGGGAUAAGCCUGGGAAACCGGGUCUAAUACCGGAUAUGACUCCAUGACGCAUGUUGUGGGGUGGAAGGCCUUGUGCGGCUGAGGAUGGGCCCGCGGCCUAUCAGCUUGUUGGUGGGGNGAUGGCCUACCAAGGCGACGACGGGUAGGCCGGCCUGAGAGGGCGGACCGGCCACACUGGGACGUGAGACACGGCCCACGACUCCUACGGGAGGCGAGCAGUGGGGAAGUCUUGCGCAAUGGGCGAAAGCCUGACGCAGCGACGCCGCGUGUGGGAUGACGGCCUCGG